AUUAGAAUCUAAUUAACUAAAAAUAAUAAUUUUUAUUAAUUUCAUUAU
rnacentral:tRNA from 1 species